rnacentral:pre_miRNA from 1 species
AAAAGAAAUGUCACAAUUGCUACUUUAACAAUAGUGCUGACCUUUUAGUAAAAGUUGGUAAGUGCUAUUUGUUGGGGUAGUUUUAACUGG